rnacentral:rRNA from 1 species
AUUGAACGCUGGCGGCAUGCCUUACACAUGCAAGUCGAACGGCAGCACGGGUGCUUGCACCUGGUGGCGAGUGGCGAACGGGUGAGUAAUACAUCGGAACAUGUCCUGUAGUGGGGGAUAGCCCGGCGAAAGCCGGAUUAAUACCGCAUACGAUCUACGGAUGAAAGCGGGGGACCUUCGGGCCUCGCGCUAUAGGGUUGGCCGAUGGCUGAUUAGCUAGUUGGUGGGGUAAAGGCCUACCAAGGCGACGAUCAGUAGCUGGUCUGAGAGGACGACCAGCCACACUGGGACUGAGACACGGCCCAGACUCCUACGGGAGGCAGCAGUGGGGAAUUUUGGGCAAUGGGCGAAAGCAUGAUCCAGCAAUGCCGCGUGUGUGAAGAAGGCCUUCGGGUUGUAAAGCACUUUUGUCCGGAAAGAAAUCCUUGGCCCUAAUACGGUCGGGGGAUGACGGUACCGGAAGAAUAAGCACCGGCUAACUACGUG